AACGAACGCUGGCGGCAUGCCUAACACAUGCAAGUCGAACGAGACCUCCGGGUCUAUUGGCGCACGGGUGCGUAACGCGUGGGAACCUGCCCUUAGGUUCGGAAUAACUCCCCGAAAGGGGUGCUAAUACCGGAUAAUGUCUUCGGACCAAGGAUUUAUCGCCUUUGGAUGGGCCCGCGUUGGAUUAGCUUGUUGGUAGGGUAAAAGCCUACCAAGGCGACGAUCCAUAGCUGGUCAGGGAGGAUGAUCAGCCACACUGGGACUGAGACACGGCCCAGACUCCUACGCAAAGCAGGAGUGGGGAAUAUUGGACAAUGGGCGAAGGCAUGAUCCAGCAAUGCCGCGUGAGUGAUGAAGUCCUUAGGGAUGUAAUGCUCUUUUACCCGGGAUGAUAAUGACGGUACCGGGAGAAUAAGCUCCGGCUAACUCCGUG
rnacentral:rRNA from 1 species